UCAAGCUAAUAAGGGCUAAUGGUGGAUACCUAGGCACACAGAGGCGAAGAAGGACGUGGUGACCGACGAAAAGCUCCGGGGAGCUGGAAGCAAGCGUAAGAUCCGGAGAUGUCCGAAUGGGGGAACCCCAAGUACAGCCUGUUGAAUAUAUAGACAGGUAUGAGCCAACCCAGCGAAUUGAAACAUCUUAGUAGCUGGAGGAAAAGAAAUCAAUAGAGAUUCCCCAAGUAGUGGUGAGCGAAAGGGGAAGAGCCUAAACCAAUGAGUAAACUUGUUGGGGUUGUGGGACAGCGAUAUCGAAUCUAGCGGUUAGACGAAGCAGCGAAAAACUGCACCAAAGAAGGUGAGAGUCCUGUAGUCGAAAACUUAAGGAUAGUAGCUGUAUCCCGAGUAGCAUGGGACACGGGAAAUCCCAUGUGAAUCAGCGAGGACCACCUCGUAAGGCUAAAUACUACUGUGUGACCGAUAGUGAACCAGUACCGCGAGGGAAAGGUGAAAAGAACCCCAACGAGGGGAGUGAAAUAGAACAUGAAACCAUUAGCCUACAAGCAGUGGGAGGACGAUUAAACGUCUAACCGCGUGCCUGUUGAAGAAUGAGCCGGCGAGUUAUAAGCACUGGUAGGUUAAGGUGAAUGCCGAAGCCAAAGCGAAAGCGAGUCUGAAGUGGGCGAUGCAUCAGUGAUUAUAGACCCGAACCCGGGUGAUCUAACCAUGUCCAGGAUGAAGCUUGGGUAACACCAAGUGGAGGUCCGCACCGACCGAUGUUGAAAAAUCGGCGGAUGAGGUGUGGUUAGGGGUGAAAUGCCAAUCGAACCCGGAGCUAGCUGGUUCUCCCCGAAAUGUGUUGAGGCGCAGCGGUUGUGAUUCCAGUCUGGGGGUAAAGCACUGUUGAGGUGCGGGCGGCGAGAGCUGUACCAAAUCUCGACAAACUCUGAAUACCAGAUGAACACACAACCAGUGAGACGGUGGGGGAUAAGCUUCAUCGUCAAGAGGGAAACAGCCCAGACCACCAGCUAAGGUCCCAAAAUCAUCGCUAAGUGGCAAAGGAGGUGGGAGUGCAUAGACAACCAGGAGGUUUGCCUAGAAGCAGCCACCCUUGAAAGAGUGCGUAAUAGCUCACUGGUCAAGCGCUCCUGCGCCGAAAAUGAACGGGACUAAGCGAUGUACCGAAGCUGUGGGAUUACAUUGUAAUCGGUAGGGGAGCGUUCCGUAGUAGAGAGAAGCACUAGCGGCAAGCAGGUGUGGACGAAACGGAAGUGAGAAUGUCGGCUUGAGUAGCGCAAACAUUGGUGAGAAUCCAAUGCCCCGAAACCCCAAGGGUUCCAGAGCCAGGUUCGUCCACUCUGGGUGAGUCGGGACCUAAGGCGAGGCCGAAAGGCGUAGUCGAUGGACACAGGGUCAAAAAUCCCUGACUAUGAAGUGGGAGCAUUCAGAGUGCGCAUGAAGGUAGGCCACACCCUGACUGGAUUGGGAGACCUCUACGGAGGUCGCGUGGAGAGAAUAGUGCCAAGAAAAGCUGUGGAUGUGAUGAAAACUUCAUACCCGUACCGCAAACCGACACAGGUGGGGGGGUAGAGAAUACCAAGGGGCGCGAGAUAACUCUCUCUAAGGAACUCGGCAAAAUGGCCCCGUAACUUCGGAAGAAGGGGUACCCACGCAAGUGGGUCGCAGUGAAGAGGCCCAGGCGACUGUUUACCAAAAACACAGGUCUCCGCCAACUCGUAAGAGGAAGUAUGGGGGCUGACGCCUGCCCAGUGCCGGAAGGUUAAGGAAGUUGGUCAGGGGGAAACCCUGAAGCUGACGACCGAAGCCCCGGUGAACGGCGGCCGUAACUAUAACGGUCCUAAGGUAGCGAAAUUCCUUGUCGGGUAAGUUCCGACCCGCACGAAAGGCGUAACGAUCUGGGCACUGUCUCGGAGAGAGACUCGGCGAAAUAGGAAUGUCUGUGAAGAUACGGACUACCUGCACCUGGACAGAAAGACCCUAUGAAGCUUUACUGUAGCCUGGAAUUGGGUCCGGGCUUGGCUUGCGCAGGAUAGGUGGGAGGCAUUGAAACACUCCUUGUGGGGAGUGUGGAGCCAACGGUGAGA
rnacentral:rRNA from 1 species